rnacentral:rRNA from 1 species
UAAAGAUUCAUCGCUGAUAGAUAGGCAUGCGUUCCAUUAGGCAGUUGGCGGGGUAACGGCCCACCAAACCGACGAUGGAUAGGGGUUCUGAGAGGAAGGUCCCCCACAUUGGUACUGAGACACGGACCAAACUCCUACGGGAGGCAGCAGUGAGGAGUAUUGGUCAAUGGGCGUAAGCCUGAACCAGCCAAGUCGCGUGAGGGAUGAAGGUUCUAUGGAUCGUAAACCUCUUUUAUAAGGGAAUAAAGUGCGGGACGUGUCCCGUUUUGUAUGUACCUUAUGAAUAAGGAUCGGCUAACUCCGUGCCAGCAGCCGCGGUAAUACGGAGGAUCCGAGCGUUAUCCGGAUUUAUUGGGUUUAAAGGGUGCGUAGGCGGCCUUUUAAGUCAGCGGUGAAAGUCUGUGGCUCAACCAUAGAAUUGCCGUUGAAACUGGGAGGCUUGAGUAUGUUUGAGGCAGGCGGAAUGCGUGGUGUAGCGGUGAAAUGCUUAGAUAUCACGCAGAACCCCGAUUGCGAAGGCAGCCUGCCAAGCCAUGACUGACGCUGAUGCACGAAAGCGUGGGGAUCAAACAGGAUUAGAUACCCUGGUAGUCCACGCAGUAAACGAUGAUCACUAGCUGUUUGCGAUACACAGUAA